UACGGGGGGGGCAAGCGUUGUUCGGAAUUACUGGGCGUAAAGGGCUCGUAGGCGGCCAACUAAGUCAGACGUGAAAUCCCUCGGCUUAACCGGGGAACUGCGUCUGAUACUGGAUGGCUUGAGAUUGGGAGAGGGAUGCGGAAUUCCAGGUGUAGCGGUGAAAUUCGUAGAUAUUGGGAAGAACACCGGUGGCGAAGGCGGCUAUCUGGCCCGUAAUUGACGCUGAGGCGCGAAAGCGUGGGGAGCAAACAGG
rnacentral:rRNA from 1 species